rnacentral:rRNA from 1 species
CAGUAGCCACGGUAAUACAGAGGGUGCGAGCGUUAAUCGGAUUUACUGGGCGUAAAGCGUGCGUAGGCGGCUUCUUAAGUCGGAUGUGAAAUCCCUGAGCUUAACUUAGGAAUUGCAUUCGAUACUGGGAAGCUAGAGUAUGGGAGAGGAUGGUAGAAUUCCAGGUGUAGCGGUGAAAUGCGUAGAGAUCUGGAGGAAUACCGAUGGCGAAGGCAGCCAUCUGGCCUAAUACUGACGCUGAGGUACGAAAGCAUGGGGAGCAAACAGGAUUAGAUAUCCCUGUAGUCCCUGUCUCUUAUAC